GCUCUCGUAGUCUAGUGGCCAAGGAUGCCGCCCUCUCACGGCGGUGACCCGGGUUCAAAUCCCGGCGGGAGCA
rnacentral:tRNA from 1 species